GCGGGGAUUGCCGAGCUCGGUCAAAGGCGAUGGAUUUAGGGUCCAUUCGCGCAGGCGUUCGGGGGUUCGAAUCCCUCUCCCCGCA
rnacentral:tRNA from 1 species